rnacentral:rRNA from 1 species
UGCGAGUAAAGCGGGAAAAGCUCAAAUUUAAAAUCUGGCGGUCUUUGGCCGUCCGAGUUGUAUGUCUAGAGAAGCGUCUUCCGCGUUGGACCGUGUACAAGUCUCUUGGAACAGAGCGUCAUAGAGGGUGAGAAUCCCGUCUUUGACACGGACUACCAAUGCUUUGUGAUGCGCUCUCAAAGAGUCGCGUUGUUUGGGAAUGCAGCGCAAAAUGGGAGGUGAAUUCCUUCUAAAGCUAAAUAUUGGCGAGAGACCGAUAGCGGACAAGUACCGUGAGGGAAAGAUGAAAAGCACUUUGGAAAGAGAGUUAAACAGUACGUGAAAUUGCUAAAAGGGAAACGCUUGAAGUCAGUCGCGUCGUCCGGAACUCAGCUUUGCUUCGGCUUAGUGCACUUUCCGGUUGACGGGCCAGCAUCGAUUUUGACCGCUGGAAAAGGGCUGGAGGAAUGUGGCACCUUCGGGUGUGUUAUAGCCUUCAGUCGCAUACAGCGGUUGGGAUCGAGGAACGCAGCGCGCCUUAUGGCUGGGGUUCGCCCACAUUCGCGCUUAGGAUGCUGGCAUAAU